rnacentral:lncRNA from 1 species
AGACAAGUCCGAGUGGUAUUAUUAUACUUUUUAUAUAAUAAAAUUUGAUUGUUUUAUUUAGAUGGCUAUCAUGUUACUGAUUUAUUUAUUGUUGUUUCAGGCCAGUCUUCAUCGGUAGUGAGGCAAGGGUGAGGUCCAUCAAAGAAUCUCACUUUAGAGUGUUGGAGAUGCGAGCACCUAGGAUAGUAUCUCCAUAUCAAGAUACCAGUCGGCUACAUUAGGCCCAUUAGGGGAUGGUGCGAGCCGUGGCAGACUGAGCUGGGCAUCAUAUACCGAAGUUAUGCCCCCACGAUGCUCUUCAAUUGACGUCACAUUCUACCGGCUC